rnacentral:rRNA from 1 species
AUUGAACGCUGGCGGCAUGCUUUACACAUGCAAGUCGAACGGCAGCGCGGGCUUCGGCCUGGCGGCGAGUGGCGAACGGGUGAGUAAUGCAUCGGAACGUGCCCAGUAGUGGGGGAUAGCCCGGCGAAAGCCGGAUUAAUACCGCAUACGACCUGAGGGUGCAAGCGGGGGACCGAGAGGCCUCGCGCUAUUGGAGCGGCCGAUGUCUGAUUAGCUAGUUGGUGGGGUAAAGGCUUACCAAGGCGACGAUCCGUAGCUGGUCUGAGAGCACGACCAGCCACACUGGGACUGAGACAGGGCCCAGACUCCUACGGUAGGCAGCAGUGGGGAAUUUUGGACAAUGGGGGCGACCCUGAUCCAGCCAUGCCGCGUGCGGGAAGAACGCCUUCUGGUUCGAAACCGCUUUUGUUCGGGAAGAAAUCCUCUGGGCUAAUACCCCGUGGGGAUGACGGUACCGGAAGAAUAAGCACCGGCUAACUACGUG